rnacentral:antisense_RNA from 1 species
AUCAAGCAGUGGCGGAAAAGGGGCGGAGAACCGGAAAAAAGGGCGGAGAACCGGGAAAAGGUCAAGACCCGGUCUCACUCCAUCACCCAGGCUGGAGUGCAGUGGUGUAAUCACAGCUGACCACAGCUUCAACCUCCUGGGCUCAAGCAAUCCUCCUGCCUCAGCCUCCUGAGUAGCUGUGACUACUGGUGCAUGUUACUGCACCCAGCUAAUUUUUACAUAUUUUUGUAGAGAUGAGCUCUCCCUACCUUGCCCAGGCUAACCUCAAACACCUGGCCUCAACUCACUUUGAGUUUCUUUAUCUGUAAUUCCUGGUAGAGAUUCCCUAAAUGAGAAUAGUGCUGAAGACUAAUAGUUAAUCACAUCUCUUCUUACGGGGCAGAGAUAAAAAGGGCUGGGAAGCCAACUAAAAAAAUAGGUCCAAUUUCAGUGUUUACUCCUCUGAAAGUCCUGCUCAUUGCAAAGUUUAGCAUACGAAGGACUCGGAACUCGUUGAAUGCCAGGGACAACAGGGAAAAAGACCUCAA